CCUACGGGUGGCAGCAGUGAGGAAUAUUGGUCAAUGGCCGUAAGUCUGAACCAGCCAAGUAGCGUGAGGGAAGACUGCCCUAUGGGUUGUAAACCUCUUUUAUGCGGGGAUAAAGGUGUCCCCGUUUGGAUGUUUGCAGUUACCGCAUGAAUAAGGACCGUCUAAUUCCGUGCCAGCAGCCGCGGUAAUACGGAAUGGCCGGGCGUUCUCCGGAUUUAUUGGGUUUAAAGGGAGCGUAGGCCGGUCUUUAAGCGUGCCGUGAAAUUUUGUGGCUCAACCAUGAGAGUGCGGCGCGAACUGGAGACCUGGAGUGCGCGGAAGGCAGGCGGAAUGCGUGGGGUAGCGGUGAAAUGCUUAGAUAUCACGAAGAACCCCGAUUGCGAAGGCAGCCUGCCGCAGCGUGACUGACGCUGAAACUCGAAAGCGCGGGUAUCGAACAGGAUUAGAUACCCUGGUAGUC
rnacentral:rRNA from 1 species